GGGGAUUUAGCUCAGUGGUAGAGCGCUUGCCUAGCAAGCACAAGGCCCUGGGUUCAGUCCUCG
rfam:Rattus norvegicus chromosome 10, whole genome shotgun sequence.